UUCUCCCUCCGUUUAUAAGUAUCGUGGUUUUAGAGUAGUUUUCUUUGUUGGAAGCUCCAGAGCAGUUGCUAUUGCUGGAGUUACAGUGUCCAUUCAUUGCCAAGAACAAUAUGGACAAGCCAGUAUUGACAAUAGGUUCAUGUCUAAUUGAUUUGAGGAGCCAAAUAAUAAAAUUGUACCUUUUCUCAUAAAUGAUGCACAGUAAUGAUUAUUUCGAAUGAAUAAAGCAUGCUUUUUUUUAAAGCCAACGUUGGCCCCGGACAUGUAGAGCUUUUGUGUAUUCUCCUAGUCUCUACCUGCACUUAGGGUGCGGGAGCCGGCCGCUACCCGCAUACAGUUCAAACAUUAUUUAUCGAAAAAAUACAAUUCAAACGGUGAAUUAAA
rnacentral:lncRNA from 1 species